UACGAAGGGGGCUAGCGUUGCUCGGAAUCACUGGGCGUAAAGGGUGCGUAGGCGGGUCUUUAAGUCAGGGGUGAAAUCCUGGAGCUCAACUCCAGAACUGCCUUUGAUACUGAGGAUCUUGAGUUCGGGGAGAGGUGAGUGGAACUGCGAGUGUAGAGGUGAAAUUCGUAGAUAUUCGCAAGAACACCAGUGGCGAAGGCGGCUCACUGGCCCGAUACUGACGCUGAGGCACGAAAGCGUGGGGGAGCAAACAGG
rnacentral:rRNA from 1 species